CUCGUCACCUCGCCGCUGCAUCUCCCGGAAGACGAGCAGCGAGUCCCUGCCUUGCCCGGCAUGCGCGUAGCCAGAGAUCAUGGCGUUCCAGGUGACGAGGUCCCUGAACGCAGCAGCGCCAUCAAACACCCGCCGCGCGUCGCCGAUCCUCCCGCCCUUGGAGUACACGAGCACCAGCGAGUUGGCGACGACGCCAUGCCCCUCGAACCCCAUCCUGACGCAGGCCCCGUGGACACGAACACCGGCGCCCAUGUCGCCGACCACGCCACAUGCCUUGAGGGUGGCCGAGAGCGUGAACUCGUUCGGCGGGGCCUCCGAGACCCUCCGCAUCUCCCCGAACAGCCGGAGGCACUCCCCGGCGCGCCCCUGCUGCAGGAAGCCCACCAUGAGCGCCGUCCACGACACCACGUUCCUCUCGGGCAUUCCGUCGAACACCUGGCCGGCCGCGUCGAGGCGGCCGCACUUGGCGUACAUGUCGACCAGGUUGUUGCCGAGCAUGGUGUCGGAUCCGAAGCCGAGCUUGGUGAGCGCGCCGUGGAGCUGCGCGCCGCCGCGGAGGUCCGCGCCCCUCGCGCUCGCCCGGAGGAGGUCCGCGAGCAUCCUCCGCCGCUCCACUGGAUCCGCGGGGAGUGUUGGAAGGGAGAUGGCGCCGCGGGGAGGGCCCGGCUGGGGCGAUGA
rnacentral:rRNA from 1 species